rnacentral:lncRNA from 1 species
UAUUCAGGGAGAGGAACAUGCCCUGCAAUUGCCCAAAACAUAGGUGGAGGGGUAGAACUGUUCCAGAUGUGUGUAGCCCUGUCGCUUACCUGUGCUGUCGUAGAUGGUAAAGAAGAGCCCUCCUCCAAUGCCCAUGCUGUGAGCGUUCAUGAGUCCAACGCAGAGCAGAGCUGCAAUAGCAGCGUCCACAGCAGAUCCGCCUUGCUGAAGGAUGUCCCUGUGCAGCAAAAGAGAAGGCAUCUUACAGCAACACGCCACAGUGUCUCAGCUAUCUGUGAGCUCUGGGCCUCUAUCACCAUAGAGAAGAGAACCUAAUGGUCUGGGUACGGCCCAGAUUGACCUUCAUUAAAGAGACAUUCGAACUAGCCUGAAAGCAGCAAGAUGUGACAAAGUACCUGGAGGAGACUGGCAUUCCAGCCACAUCCACCAUA